rnacentral:misc_RNA from 1 species
CCGCCCACGUUAUUUCAAACACCUUCCAGCCUCACACAUUUCUACUCGCACACACACAUGCUCAUCUUCUUCCACUAUAUCUCUAUUCCCUUUCUCUUUUUCAGAAUCUCACGAAGCCAUAAUUAAUAUGUAUAUUAGUGACCAAAUGCUGUUGCAGUGUCCUCCUAGGCCCUUGCCCAUGGAGAGAAAAUGGAAACCUCAGGUCGAAGUUGCUCCCAAUUGUCCUCGUUGUGCCUCUUCCAACACCAAAUUCUGUUAUUACAAUAACUACAGCUUGUCUCAGCCUAGGUACUUUUGUAAAGGUUGUCGACGGUAUUGGACUAAAGGUGGCUCUCUAAGGAAUGUUCCUGUCGGUGGUGGUUGUCGGAAAACUCGCAGAGCUAAGCCCGUUAGAGUCUCGCAGAAUGAUGGUAGAAUUAAUGGGUCGAGUGAAAAAUCAAUGGUUCAAGAAAGUGGAACCACUGGGUCGUCUUCUGAAAUAGAUCUUGCUGUUGUUUUCGCUAAGUUCUUGAAUCAAGACUCGAGUUUUCAUCCUGAAUUUAAAGCUCAAGAAUUGCCUAAUGAGACCAGUACUGUAAAAAAUUCUUCAACACCUGAUAGUGCUGCGAUUGAAUGCGAUGACAAGUUCACAGAUCUGAUACAAGAAUCUGAUUUAUUACUUGAAGAGCUACCUCCAGUUCUUGUAAGAGAUCACAAGCAACAAGAAGGUCAAGAAAGAAUUCAGGAACUCAUAGAAAGUCAAGAUAUGGAUGCAUUUGGAUUGCAAACUUUGCUUGGAGAUGAAGUAGUGCAAGAUGCUUUGUGGUCUGAAGCUGCAACCUUGCCAAAUAUUACGUGGGAAACUGUACAACCACAACAGGAAUUUUGGUCAUUCUCAGUGGAUGAUCAGCUAAAGUUUUCUGCCAAUCUUAUGAGCGAUAAUGCUUGGAGUUCUUUUGAUUUCUCUGGGUUUGAGGUUCCUUCAAGACCUUCACGUAUACUAUAAAUUUACAGGAUUUUUGUUAUUGUCCUUCUUGAAGGAAUUGAGCUUGAUGUUUUACUGUUAAUUUCCCAAGAAAAAAAUUAAAAAGAAUCAUGGUGUAGAUCAUACAUAUAAAAAGCAUAGUGCAAUAAAAUGAUGUAUACUGGAGAAGUUUUAAAUAAAUAAGAUUAAAUGGAGUGUGUGAAAAAAAUAAUUGAUAAAAAAAUGUGUAUUUUUUUAAAAAAUGAGUUGCAAU